AUAAGAUUUUAAUUGAAUGCUAAGAGAAUGGAAUUUCAGAAAAAAACUUUUUUCAAGUUAAAAAUUGAAAUUUUUUUAAUUUGUGUAGAAACAAUUAUUAAUAUUAAGGACAAGAAGACCCUAUGAAUUUAUAAAUUUUAUUUAAUAUGUAACUACUAUUAAAAAAAUUUUAGCUGGGGCGGCGGAAAAAUAUUUAAAACUUUUUUAAAAUAAAAUGAUCCAUUAUUAAUGAUUAUAUGUUAAAUACUCUAGGGAUAACAGCGUUAUAUUUUUUGAUAGAUCAUAUUGACAAAAAAGUUUGCGACCUCGAUGUUGGAUUAGGAUACUUUUUUAAUGCAGAUAUUAAAAAAAGAAGUU
rnacentral:rRNA from 1 species